rnacentral:RNase_P_RNA from 1 species
GCCGCUCCCCGGACGGCCGCAAUCCUCCGCAAGGAUGGUUGAGGAAAGUCCGGACACCAUAGGGCAACGCGCCUCGUGAAAACGGGGGACGGGAACCGCGAGGGACCCGGACGGAAAGUGCAACAGAAAGCAUACCGCCGAUGGUCCGCAAGGACACAGGUAAGGGUGAAACGGUGGAGUAAGAGCCCACCGCGCCGAGGGCAACCGAGGUGGCACGGCAAACCCCGCGUGGUGCAAGACAAAACAGGGGAAGGGCUGCCCGUCCGUUCGAUCCCCGGGUAUUAGUCGCACUCCGCGCGAGCGGAGCGCCCCGUGAGAACGGGGUGAGAGAAAUGGCCGUCCAGCCCGCAAGGGUGGACAGAAUCCGGCUUACAGGGGAGCGGCCCCC